AUCAGCCCUCCCCCUUCCAUUUUCGUUUUUUUUAUUUGUUUUGUUUGAUUUCUUCAUAACUUCAUCAAUUCUUAACCGAAUCGGACGAUUCUUGUGUUGAAAUUCGAUGGAAAUCACCAUCCGAACCCGUUCCACCGAUUAGUUUCCCUUGAAACCCUCUCUAUGGUGAGAAAAGAGCCAUAUACAGCCACGAAAUUCUUAGGAUUUUUGUGAUUUUGGGGUUGAUUUCUUGAGCCAUUGCUUGUGGAGUUCUAGGAGGAGUCUUGUGACGUAAUUGUGGGUUGUCGUACGUCGAUUUGAACACCGAACCGUGAGUCGGUGGAUUGCCCUUGGUCCUGGACCAAGUGGGAUUGAGGCGUUCUGUUGAGUAACAAACUUGGAACCUAAGCUGCUGUGGAGCUAAGUGGAGUAACAUAUUGAGGUUGUCGUACGUCGAUUCGAACACCGAACCGUGAGUCGGUGGAUUGCCCUUGGUCCUGGACCAAGUGGGAUUGAGG